GAUGAACGCUAGCGGCAGGCCUAACGCAUGCAAGUCGAGGGGUAACAUAGAAAAGCUUGCUUUUCUGAUGACGACCGGCGCACGGGUGCGUAACGCGUAUACAACCUACCUUUUAGCGGGGAAUAGCCCAGGGAAACUUGGAUUAAUGCCUCAUAGUAUAUAAGCUUCUCCUGAAGUUUAUAUUAAACAUUUAUGGCUAUUAGAUGGAUAUGCGUCCUAUUAGUUAGUUGGUAAGGUAACGGCUUACCAAGGCAGCGAUAGGUAGGGGUCCUGAGAGGGAGAUCCCCACACUGGUACUGAGACACGGACCAGACUCCUACGGGAGGCAGCAGUGAGGAAUAUUGGACAAUGGGCGAGAGCCUGAUCCGGCCAUGCCGCGUGCAGGAAGACUGCCCUAUGGGUUGUAAACUGCUUUUACAGAGGAAGAACCACCCCCACGUGUGGGGGUUUGACGGUACUCUGCGAAUAAGGAUCGGCUAACUCCGUG
rnacentral:rRNA from 1 species